rnacentral:rRNA from 1 species
UUAAGCUACAAAGGGCAUAUGGUGGAUGCCUAGGCGUUCCGAGCCGAUGAAGGACGCGAUAAGCUGCGAUAAGUCAUGGGGAGCCGCAAGUAGGCUUUGAUCCAUGAAUCUCCAAAUGGGGCAACCCGGUACGAGUCAUGUCGUACCAUCCGAAAGGAAGGCACACCCGGUGAACUGAAACAUCUAAGUAGCCGGAGGAAGAGUAAUCAAACGAGAUUCCCUCAGUAGCGGCGAGCGAACAGGGAAGAGCCCAAACCGGACGUCUUCGGACGACCGGGGUUGAGGACCAGCAUCAAGGGAAGGCAAGAUAGCCGAACAGUCUGGGAAGGCUGAGCACAGACGGUGAAACUCCGGUAGGCGAAAUCUUACCCAACGGGCUGGUAUCCAGAGUACCACGAGACACGUGAAACCUUGUGGGAAGCAGGGUGGACCACCAUCCAAGGCAAAAUACUACGGAACGACCGAUAGCGCAUAGUACCGUGAGGGAAAGGUGAAAAGAACCGCGGGAGCGGAGUGAAAUAGAACCUGAAACCGUAUGUCUACAAGCAGUCGAAGCACUUUAUAUGUGCGACGGCGUGCCUAUUGAAGAAUGAACCGGCGAGUUAAUUUCAGAGGCGAGGUUAAGCGGGAGACGCGGAGCCGAAGCGAGAGCGAGUCUGAAUAGGGCGCAAGUCUCUGGGAUUAGACCCGAAACCACAGUGAUCUAUGCAUGGCCAGGUUGAAGCUCAGGUAAAAAUGAGUGGAGGACCGAACCCGUGAGUGUUGAAAAACUUUGGGAUGAGCUGUGCAUAGGGGUGAAAUGCCAAUCGAACGUGGAGAUAGCUGGUUCUCCCCGAAAUAGCUUUAGGGCUAGCCUCAGGUAACACAUGGAGACGGUAGAGCACUGAUCGGGUAAGGGAGCGUAAAGCUUACCGAGCCUAGUCAAACUGCGAAUGGCUUCAUGAGAAGAGCCUGGGAGUCAGAAUGCGAGUGAUAAGACCCGUAUUCAAAAGGGAAACAGCCCAGAUCGCCGACUAAGGUCCCAAAUGCUGUACUAAGUGGAAAAGGAUGUAGGACUUCCAAAACAACCAGGAUGUUGGCUCAGAAGCAGCCACCAUUCAAAGAGUGCGUAAUAGCUCACUGGUCGAGAGGCCCUGCGCCGAAAAUAUCCGGGGCUCAAGUACAGAACCGAAGUCGCGGGAUGCGCAAGCAUCGGUAGGGGAGCGUUCCAAGCAGGUUGAAGGCAGACCGGAAGGACGGCUGGACAGCUUGGAAGUGAGAAUGCUGGUAUGAGUAGCGAAACGAUCCGUGAGAAUCGGAUCCACCGAAAGCCUAAGGGAUCCUGAGCAACGCUCGUCGUCUCAGGGUAAGUCGGGACCUAAGCCGAGGCAUAAAGCAUAGGCGAUGGACAACAGGCGAAAAUUCCUGUACUGCAUGAUGUUGUUUGAGGAUGGAGUGACACAGCAAGGAGCUUGAGCGCGCGAUUGGAAAUGCGCGUCGAAGGCGGUAGGCUGGUAUAGAGGCAAAUCCCUGUACUAAGGCCGAGAACUGAUAGAUAGGAGCGUACUUCGGUACAAUCCAAAUUCAAGCGUACUACACUGUCGAGAAAAGCUUCUAACGAGACAUCAUGUACCCGUACCAAAACCGACACAGGUAGGCGGGGAGAGAAUCCUAAGGUGCGCGGGAAAACCCUCGUUAAGGAACUCGGCAAAAUGCAUCCGUAACUUCGGGAGAAGGAUGGCCGGAGCUGGUGAAGACCUUCGCGGUUGGAGCUGGAGCCGGCGGCAGAAGAGAAGCCCAAGCGACUGUUUACCACAAACACAGGUGCCUGCUAAAGAGAAAUCUGACGUAUAGGUGCUGACACCUGCCCGGUGCUGGAAGGUUAAGAGGAGAGGUCAUUCGCAAGAAGAAGCUUUGAAUUGAAGCCCCAGUAAACGGCGGCCGUAACUAUAACGGUCCUAAGGUAGCGAAAUUCCUUGUCGGGUAAGUUCCGACCCGCACGAAAGGUGUAACGACUUGGGCACUGUCUCAACGAGGGACCCGGUGAAAUUGAAAUACCUGUGAAGAUGCAGGUUACCCGCGACUGGACAGAAAGACCCCAUGGAGCUUUACUGCAGCCUGACAUUGAUUUUUGGCAUGUAACGUACAGGAUAGUUGGGAGACGGAGAAGAUAGGCCCCCAGGCUUAUCGGAGUCGCUGUUGGGAUACCAACCUUUAUGUGCUAGGGAUCUAACUCGAGAAGUAACGAAGCUGAGGACAGUAUCAGGUGGGCAGUUUGACUGGGGCGGUCGCCUCCGAAAGAGUAACGGAGGCGUCCAAAGGUUCCCUCAGCGCGGACAGAAAUCGCGCGAAGAGUAUAAAGGCAGAAGGGAGCUUGACUGCGAGACAUACAGGUCGAGCAGGUACGAAAGUAGGGCUUAGUGAUCCGGUGGAAUGAGAGUGGAAUUGCCAUCGCUCAACGGAUAAAAGCUACCCUGGGGAUAACAGGCUAAUCUCUCCCAAGAGUCCAUAUCGACGGGGAGGUUUGGCACCUCGAUGUCGGCUCAUCACAUCCUGGGGCUGAAGUCGGUCCCAAGGGUUGGGCUGUUCGCCCAUUAAAGUGGUACGUGAGCUGGGUUCAGAACGUCGUGAGACAGUUCGGUCCAUAUCCAUCGCGGGCGUAAGAUACAUGAGGGAGACUGCUCCUAGUACGAGAGGACCGGAGUGGACGGACCGCCGGUGUACCAGUUGUUUCGCCAGAAGCACAGCUGGGUAGCUGCGUCCGGAAGGGAUAAACGCUGAAAGCAUCUAAGCGUGAAGCCCGUCCCGAGAUGAAGUAUCUCAUAGCACAAGCUAGUAAGACACCUUGAAGAAGACAAGGUCGAUAGGGUAGAUGUGGGAGUGCCGCAAGGCAUGAAGCUGACUACUACUAAUAUGUCGAGGGCUUAACUAG